GGCGAGAUAGCUCAGUUGGCCAGAGCACACGGUUCAUACCCGUGGUGUCGAGGGUUCGAAUCCCCCUCUCGCUA
rnacentral:tRNA from 1 species